ensembl:lncRNA
GAAAAUGUGACUUGGGAAGAUUCCUAAGAAUAAGGCAUAACCUAUACGACUUAUGUCAUAUUUCUAGCAGGAAAACUCAGCUAGUGGGGAGAGCAGUCGUAUGGUUAGGACUGUCUCAAAACCAAAUUCACCCAAUACGAAUUCAACCCGUGAACACUGCCGCUGCUCACUGCUCCACUUGUGCCCUCAUCACUGCCUUCAUGCCCCAGUGCUCUGGGCCAGUUGACGACUCCCUCUACAUCCCUACAUACUCUCUGCUGGCCGGCUGCUGGGCCUUGCUUUGGCCAGGGGGCCACAUCACGAUAAAGGCUGGGGAAUGUAGAGUCACCUGCAGCCUGUUCUGCCAAAAUAUUCAGUGGAAGACUGAGCCACGCUGACCUCGGACAUGAGGAAAAGAGAUGUGCAAUCAGACUAAGGAGUCACCUACUGCUUAGGUGGAUUGUACCUGGAUUCUAGUGAAAUGAAGAGACGCUAAAGAUGAAUGAAAAGAAGACUGAAUCUGUACAUCCACAUCUUCAAGGGCAGCGACCAUUUCUUAUGCUUCUCUUCAGGACCUCGUUCAGGACCCUGUGCAUUCUAGGUACAAAGGAAAGGAGAUGAAGAUGAAGAAACAGAGGCUCAAGAAAUAAAGUCGCCUAUCCAAUGUUGCUCAGUUGACGGCAAAGUUGAGGUAAAAAGCCAUGUUUGUUCAACUCCAUAGACCUGUUCUGAGCCCCACAUUCUAACAUCUCCCCAGUCUCUGCCAAAGCAUGGAACAGUCUCCUGUUCCUGCUCAGAUUCCAAGGACUUACCUGGUUUGAUGGGUUGACCAGCACUAAGAAUCUCCUGCCAGAUUCCAGCUGUGCUCAUUCCACCUGCAUCAGGAACCGGCACCCCAUCCAGGAGUCACACCAUCAUACUCUGCACCUGACCCUGUGUGGGUGAGGCAUCUCCUGGAAGACAGUGGACCCACGGAUGCCCAGUCCUCUGUGAGGGCUCUCAAUUUUGUCUGGUCAUGGAGCAGGGAUAUCGGAGUCCUCCCAUUCUAGGUUCUAGAGUUCACAAAUUCCAGCAAGCUGUUUCAUGGGAUCAGGGACACUUCGUUCUUUGCGUCCAUCCUGUGACUGUCAUGGUUAGAAUGCAUUUGUUCUGAUUUGCACUGACAUUCAGUCAAUAAACAACUGGUCAUUGGAACUGAAUCUCCUAUCACUGCCAGCAUUUGCAAAGCUGAGUUUCAUUUUGCUGAUCAUCCAGUGUGUGUCUCUCCAGUAAUGUGGUAUGUCCAGUGUUCCAACAUGAACCGCAUAUUCCCCUAAGCUGACCACCCUGGCUUUCUUCUGGAAAUUCCACCGGAAACACCCUGAGAUACUGUAGCCUGCAAAGCUGAAGGCAACGGAUAGACCUUGGUCCUUCUACAUCCACUGCCUAAGUGUGAGGGACAAGCCCUAUGCCAGGCUUUGCCCUAGCCAUCACAUGUCUACCCUGUUCUUGUCUUGCACAACCUCCCUUUCCUCUGUCCAAACAGUUGCUGUUUCUUUCCAAGCUCAGUCUACGAUUCUCACCCCUAUACAUGCUCCCCUAAUCAGGCUGAAGACAGAAUAUGCUCACCUUAUUUUACUAUGACUAGAUAUAUCAGGGAUAUAUCAGACUUAGCCUAAGUCUAGCAGAUUUUAAUAGUUAUUAAUAGAAUAUUCGUUCUUUUCCUUAUAAACACUAUAGUCAAUAUUCUUGUUCUCUCAUGUACCACUUAAAGUAUCUGAAAUCAGACAUGAAAGAGUAAUUUAAAUUUGUUGAAGACAAAGCUUUCUCUUUAUUUUAUUUUUUAAAAUGUUUAUUUUAUUUUGGAAUAUAGCUGAUUAGCAAUAUUGUGGUAGUUUCAGGUGUACAGCAAAGUGAUGCAGUUACACAUAUACGUGUAUCUAUUCUUUUUUCAUUUAGGUUAUUACAGAGUAUUGAGCAGUGUUCCCUGUGCUAUAUGGAGACAGAUCCGGAGAAGGCAAUGGCACCCCACUCCAGUACUCUUGCCUGGAAAAUCCCAUGGACGGAGGAGCCUGGUAGGCUGCAGUCCAUGGGGUCACUAAGAGUCGGACAAGACUGAGUGACUUCACUUGCAGUUUUCACUUUCAUGCAUUAGAGAAGGAAAUGGCAACCCACUCCAGUGUUCUUGCCUGGAGAAUCCCAGGGACAGGGGAGCCUGGUGGGCUGCUGUCUAUGGGGUUGCACAGAGUCGAACAUGACUGAAGCGACUUAGCAGCAGCAGCAGGAGACAGAUCAAAAAAGAUAUUGCUGAGAUUUAUGUCAAAUAGUAUUCUGCCUCUGUUUUACUCUAAGAAUUUUAUAGUAUCUGGUCUUACAUUUAGGUCUUUAAUCCACUUUGAAUUUAUUUUUGA